rnacentral:rRNA from 1 species
UACGGAGGGGACUAGCGUUGUUCGGAAUUACUGGGCGUAAAGCGCACGUAGGCGGAUUUGUAAGUCAGGGGUGAAAUCCCGGGGCUCAACCUCGGAACUGCCUUUGAUACUGCAAAUCUCGAGUCCGGAAGAGGUGAGUGGAAUUCCUAGUGUAGAGGUGAAAUUCGUAGAUAUUAGGAAGAACACCAGUGGCGAAGGCGGCUCAGUGGUCCGGUACUGACGCUGAGGUGCGAAAGCGUGGGGAGCAAACAGG